ACUGUGUGAGGUGUAAAGAGAGAAUGACAUCUUGUUAGAGAGGAAGCGAAAAUGAGUCGGGUAUAUAACUCAUCUCUAUAUCUUCUGUAAAUCAACUAUCCAAUCAAUACAAUUUCAGUUCCUCACAAUGUAGAUAUCAAGAUUUCACCAUGUUAUCAGACCUGGGAAUUUCAAUUCUCAAGAGUAAUAUUCUAGGACCUGAUUAUCAUCAUCUUCACCACCACCACCACUCUCACCACCAUCAUCUUCAUCUCCAUCAAUUCAUCUUCUGCUGCUGCUGCGAUUUGAUGUUGGAUGAUAAGAAAUCAUCUCAGAUUUAUUUUCUGCUGUGGUUCUAGGCCUGAUGCAGAGUUCUCUUGGAUGCAGUUAGUGAGUACUUCUCACUUAUCAAACUUUGUCUCCUACUUUUUCCAUGGCAUGAAAGUUGUUGCAGCUUGUUGUGUAUAUAAAUAUAUAGCGCAGUGGAUGCUGCUGAUUCCUUUCCCUUGGCUAUGUAGUGAUUUACCUCUCCCUCUCUAGUGUUAGUUUAUAAAUAAAUGAAAGAAGAUUGCAAUCUUGUUGGAUUCCUUUUCUCUUUUCUUGUUUAGCCUGUGUAUGAAUAACUCUAAGAGCAGAUGCUGUUAUUCAACUAUUUGUGGUUUGUUAAUACAACAAUCUGAGUAUGCAUAGUUCUUCUGAAA